rnacentral:rRNA from 1 species
AUUGAACGCUGGCGGCAGGCCUAACACAUGCAAGUCGAGCGGAGCGGCGGACGGGGGCGUAAUGCCAAUGAAUCUGACAGUUAGCGGGGGAUGACGUUCGGAAAUGGGCACUAAUACUACAUCCUCUCACCAGAGCCUGGGUCGGAGUGGCUUGUUGGUGGGGUAAAGGCCUACCAAGGCGACGAUCCGUAACUGGUCUGAGAGGAUGAUCAGUCACACUGGAACUGAGACACGGUCCAGACUCCUACGGGAGGCAGCAGUGGGGAAUAUUGGACAAUGGGCGAAAGCCUGAUCCAGCCAUGCCGCGUGUGUGAAGAAGGUCUUCGGGUUGUAAAGCACUUUAAGUUGGGAGGCGUUACCAACAGAAUAAGCACCGGCUAACUUCGUGCCAGCAGCCGCGGUAAUAC